rnacentral:lncRNA from 1 species
AAAUUUAAAAAGAUGGAGGUUGGGGUUGAAGAGGGGAGACCUACGGUGGUAAGAGCCCCCCGUUGCUCUGAUUAAGUCAACGGGGUUUCCCUUAGAAGUGAACCUUCUCUCUGAGGGUCCAGAACUCUGCCAGCUUCUUUUUUCAGCGGCGGAAGGUCUGUUUUUUCAGCGGCGGAAGGUCUGUAAGCAACGUCCCUUGUCAAACAAGGCGGAAUGAAAAGACCAUUGCGCUUGCUUCAGGGCGGGCUUCUUAUCAAACCCAAGCGCGCUUUUCAAAACCAAGCGCGCGAACACCUGUGUCAGGUGCCGUCCAGGGUGGACGAGCGAUCAGGCCAUAAAUGCCACGACUGCGCUAUAGGUCUGGCCCGCCCUUCUUAUAACCCCUUCCAACCAUCCUUAAUGCCCCCACAUGGGUCACAAGUUCACGUGACUGAACUCAGCAAUUACAAUUGCACGGGUCAACUAUAUAAAAGGAUACGUUUCUGAUUACCUGG